CCAGGGCAAUGGGUUCCUAGGGGUUAAUAAGGACUAAGAGUUGUCUCAGAGGGAGCCCCAAAUGUGAGCCUGGCACUGGGCUGAUGUUUCCUGCAAGCAUCACGAAAAUCCCACCAGGUUAGGAACUCUCAUUUCCUACUUCUUCAGACCCCUCAGAGCCUACCCAGCAAAAGGCCAA
rnacentral:lncRNA from 1 species